rnacentral:lncRNA from 1 species
GUUGAGUGACUAACUUGCUGAUAGUAGAAACUGGCGCUGAGACCCCCACAUUCCCAGGAUGCUCUGGUAUUCAGUUGGUGACACUGGAUUCUCUCCAUCAUGGAGGGGGUGGGCCUUUGCUUGGGAAAACACAGGCUUUCUGCAUGUGGGUUUUCCUCUCUAUGAUCGUGCUUUUGCCGGCACUAUUAUCCCAACAUUGCCUCUGAUUAAUGUGCUUAUUGCACAGAGGACACGCGUUGAAGGACUCAGGCCCAGAGGACUCACCAUACUACACCUAGCUUCCCUCUCACCCAGAAGCAGCUAACCUGAUGAAACAAAUGCCCUGGCCUUGGGAAGACUUAGCUAUAUCCUAAUUGGAGCCAACACCCAGAAAAAAAGAAGCACUGUCCUAAAGAUAGUAGAUGAUUUGAAUCAGCAUGUGAUAUGGGGUGCUGAUUUUUCCAAAGCUUGAAUAUAUGGGUCCAGGAAUCAAGGACCAAGUGGGAGUGUUUUCUCCACUAUUACACAAGAUUUCUCACUUACAGAAUUUUUAUAUUCUUCCUCUAUCAAGCUCUACUACCUUUGGUUCCAACGGAAACAUGCCUGUACCAGGCCAGCACCCUCGAUCAGUGACUGACAGGAGCUGGUAUUUAUAUAUUCCAGAUUCUCCUUUGGCUGGGGACAACCCUGAGGUGUGUGUUUCAUGCUAUCUGAAACCCCCGUGGGAUUAAACUCCUGUUGCAUGUAGUGGUAACGAGUUUGAUAACACAUUCUGCCUAAAUUUUUUUUAUCUUAUUGCUUCCUCCUCUACUGGUGGUUCCUGAAACUCUUAAAUAAAUUGAUUAGACUCAAAUUCUUGUCUUGUGUCUGCUUCUGGGGGAAAUCCAGUCUAAGACUGUUGAGCAUUU